GCUUACCAUGAAUAACUUCCUACAAUCACUCUAGUUUUCUGGUUUCCUUCUAUAACCAACAGCCAACCUGGUUUCCCUGUAUAGUUUGUUUCCUUGUAUAAACCAGUAAUUGGCCUAAUAUGUAAUGGUGACUUGCUAAAAUUUAAUUCAUUCUAAAUUCUAAUUAUUUUUAUCAUGGUAUCAGAGCCCUCAAUCAUAGUUUUCUAAGAACUCCC
rnacentral:lncRNA from 1 species